rnacentral:rRNA from 1 species
AAUGAACGCUGGCGGCGCGCCUAAUACAUGCAAGUCGAGCGAGAAGACGUAGCAAUACGUUUGUAAAGCGGCGAACGGGUGAGGAAUACAUGGGUAACCUACCCUAGAGUGGGGAAUAACUAGCCGAAGGUUAGCUAAUACCGCGUACGCUCCUUGGACUUCGGUUCAGGGAGGAAAGCGAUGCCGAGGGUAUCGCGCUCUUGGAUGGGCUCAUGUCCUAUCAGCUUGNGGUGAGGUAACGGCUCACCAAGGCUUCGACGGGUAGCUGGUCUGAGAGGACGAUCAGCCACACUGGCACUGCGACACGGGCCAGACUCCUACGGGAGGCAGCAGUAAGGAAUAUUGCGCAAUGGGCGAAAGCCUGACGCAGCGACGCCGCGUGGGGGAGUGAA